CAACAGCUAGAGUUUGAUCCUGGCUCAGGAUGAACGCUGGCGGCGCGCCUAACACAUGCAAGUCGAACGGAGAUGAAAGAGCUUGCUUUUUCAUCUUAGUGGCGGACGGGUGAGUAACGCGUGAGGAACCUGCCUUUCAGAGGGGGAUAACGUCCGGAAACGGACGCUAAUACCGCAUAACGUGCGAGGGUGGCAUCACCCAUGCACCAAAGAUUUAUCGCUGAAAGAUGGCCUCGCGUCCGAUUAGAUAGUUGGUGAGGUAACGGCCCACCAAGUCUGCGAUCGGUAGCCGGACUGAGAGGUUGAUCGGCCACAUUGGGACUGAGACACGGCCCAGACUCCUACGGGAGGCAGCAGUGGGGGAUAUUGCACAAUGGGCGAAAGCCUGAUGCAGCGACGCCGCGUGAGGGAAGAAGGUCUUCGGAUUGUAAACCUCUGUUUUCGGGGACGACAAUGACGGUACCCGAAUAGAAAGCCACGGCUAACUACGUGCC
rnacentral:rRNA from 1 species